CUUAAAGGAAUUGACGGGGGCCCGCACACGCGGUGGAGCAUGUGGUUUAAUUCGAAGCAACGCCAAUAACCUUACCAGGUCUAGACAUCCUUUGACCACUCUGGAGACAGAGCUUUCCCUUCGGGGACAAAGUAACAGGUGGUGCAUGGUUGGCGUCAGCUCGUGUCGUGAGAUGUUUGAGAAAGUCCCGCAACGAGCGCAGCCCUUGAUUUUAGUAGCCAGCGUUUAAUGUGGCACUCUAAAGUGACUGCCGGUACAAGCCGGAGGAAGGUGGGGGUGACGUCAAAUCAUCAUGCCCCUUAUGACCUGGGCUUCACA
rnacentral:rRNA from 1 species